CCAAUAGCGUAUAUUAAAGUUGUUGCAGUUAAAAAGCUCGUAGUUGAAUUUCGGGGUUAGUAGAUUGGUCAUGCCUCUGGUAUGCACUGGUCUCACUGAUUCCUCCUUCCUGAUGAGCCGUAAUGCCAUUAAUUUGGUGUUGCGGGGAAUUUGGACUGUUACUUUGAAAAAAUUAGAGUGUUUAAAGCAAGCUAACGCUUGAAUACAUUAGCAUGGAAUAAUGAAAUAGGACGUUCGAUCCUAUUUUGUUGGUUUCUAGGAUUGACGUAAUGAUUGAUAGGGAUAGUUGGGGGCAUUAGUAUUCAAUUGUCAGAGGUGAAAUUCUUGGAUUUAUUGAAGACUAACUACUGCGAAAGCGUUUGCCAAGGAUGUUUUCAUUAAUCAAGAACGAAAGUUAGGGGAUCGAAGACGAUCAGAUACCGUCGUAGUCUUAACCAUAAACUAUGCCGACUAGGGAUCGGAUGAUGUUAAUUUUUUAAUGACUCAUUCGGCGCCUUACG
rnacentral:rRNA from 1 species